GAUGAAGAACGUAGCGAAAUGCGAUACGUAAUGUGAAUUGCAGAAUUCAGUGAAUCAUCGAGUCUUUGAACGCACAUUGCGCCCCCUGGUAUUCCGGGGGGCAUGCCUGUCCGAGCGUCAUUGCUGCCCUCCAGCACGGCUUGUGUGUUGGGCCUCCGUCCUCCUCCCGGGGGACGGGCCCGAAAGGCAGCGGCGGCACCGCGUCCGGUCCUCGAGCGUAUGGGGCUUCGUCACCCGCUCUUGUAGGCCCGGCCGGCGCUUGCCGACACAUCAAUCUUUUUUCCAGGUUGACCUCGGAUCAGGUAGGGAUACCCGCUGAACUUAAGCAUAUCAAUAAGCGGAGGA
rnacentral:misc_RNA from 1 species